UUUAUAUCAUCUACUAUGAAGAAACCUUUUCAAACCUCGUUUAUUGGUCUAACAAUCUUCGCCAUUCUUCUGUUAGGUUUGUAUUUAUAUUUUGAAUUGUCUUAAUAUAUUACAUUUAAUCAUUCUAAUAUAAAGUGAUUUUGAAUACCAUAUUAUUUUACUACUGAUAAAAUCAUGGCCAAGAUGGGAGUUAAGUACGAGGAACAAAUAGAGGUUCAGCUCGGAACACAAGAUCAAAUAGCUGAGGUGACCGAGCUGAGCGAAGUCGAGGUUCAGGGAAGGGUACAAGACCAAGAUACCGACCAGCCCGAUGUCCUGGCCAUACCAGUUGGACCCAUGACCAGGUCGCGUACAAAGAAGCUUAUGGGGGCCAUCCAACAAGUCCUUACCGAGCUACGGAACCAAGGCCGAGCUGACGACCCAACACCCGUGAACAAAGUCAUGACCGUUCUCAGGUACUCUGGUCCGAACUGACCUGGUUGGGGUGUUGUGUUAAUAUUCUUUUUCCUUACAUUCGGUUUUGUCCCACUAGGUUUUCCGAAUGGGGUUUUAACGAGGUUAAUACACGCC
rnacentral:lncRNA from 1 species